AUUUACAAGAAUGAAAUAAGAAUUAUUAUUUAGUUACCAAUUGUGUAAAUAUUUUUUAAAAAUGUUGCAGGAAGCGUUUCAGUAACAUCACAUUCUUCACUGUGCUCGCUGUGUUUAUCAUUCAACAUACUGCACAUUUAGAAAAAUGAAAUACUGCAUAUUUUUCUUGUUGAUUCAAAUCGGACAUAUCUAUGCAAAAUGUAAAGUAACCGUUGAACCGGGAAUGCCCAAUCGAACUGUCUGCAGUGUUGAAACCUUGGAAGAAGACGAUCCAUUGAAGUUUAAAAAACAAAAGAAUCCCGAUUACUUGUACGUCGAUGUUUCGUAUGGGGAAAUCCCUAAGGAUGCCUUUGCAAAAUUGAAAUCCCGCAAAGAGUUAUGGUUUUUAGGAGAAAAUAUCACCUUCAUUCAACCAGGUGCAUUCGCCAAUCUCACGGAAUUAGACAAUUUGGCCAUAACGAAUACCUUGAUUACAAAUAUUUCAUCGAAUACCUUCGAAGGUGUUCCAAAUUUGAAAAUUUUGAGCUUGAUUAAAAACAAGAUCGAUUAUAUUGAAGACGGUGCGUUUAAUGGACUGAAAAAUCUGCAGCAACUACUGUUAAAUGAGAAUAACUUAAGCAGGAUAAACGAAACGACGUUUAGAGGAUUAGAACACAUACAAGCUUUGUAUUUGGACGACAAUCCUAUUGAGUACAUUCAUGUUAACGCCUUGAGGAAAAUUGUUAAUUUGACUAAACUUGUUAUUUGUUUUAAGAAAGAUAAAAAUGUUGAUGAGAGUGCGUUAGAUUUUCUUGAUGACAGCAGAAAAAUUGUUCACUAUAUUGAUUAGAUUAAAUACCAUAUAUGUUACCAGUAAUUCUAUAUUUUUUGUUGUGAUACAUUUAACUUAUAGAAUAAAAAUUAUGAAAAAUCG